GCCUGGUUAGCAUAAAAGUAAUGCAACCGUUUUGUAAUCGGUAGUAGUAGGUGCGAUACCUGCACUGGGCU
rnacentral:tRNA from 1 species